rnacentral:tRNA from 1 species
GGGGCUGUAGCGCAGUUGGGAGCGCGCUUCCCUCGCACGGAAGAGGCCGUCGGUUCGAAUCCGAUCAGCUCCACCA